rnacentral:rRNA from 1 species
AAUGAAUAAAAUUUUAAUGGCCGCAGUAAUUUGACUGUGCAAAGGUAGCAUAAUCAUUAGUCUUUUAAUUGAAGGCUUGUAUGAAUGGUUGGACGAAGUAUAAUCUGUUUCAUAAAAAUUUAUAAUAGAAUUUUAUAUUUUAGUGAAAAAGCUAAAAUUUUUUUAAAAGACGAGAAGACCCUAUAAAUCUUUAUAAUUUUUAUUAUUUUAAUUUUUUUGAUUAAUUUUAUUAUUAUAAUUGAAAUUAUUUUAUUGGGGUGAUAUUAAAAUUUAAAUAACUUUUAAUUUUUUUUUUCAUUAAUUUAUGUUUUGUUGAUCCAUUAAUAAUGAUUAUUAGAAUAAGUUACUUUAGGGAUAACAGCGUAAUUUUUUUGGAGAGUUCUUAUUGAUAAAAAAGUUUGCGACCUCGAUGUUGGAUUAAGAAAUAAUUUUAGGUGUAGAUGCUUAAA